CCUGGCUCAGAGCGAACGCUGGCGGCAGGCCUAACACAUGCAAGUCGAACGGACCCUUCGGGGUUAGUGGCGGACGGGUGAGUAACACGUGGGAACGUGCCUUUAGGUUCGGAAUAGCUCCUGGAAACGGGUGGUAAUGCCGAAUGUGCCCUUCGGGGGAAAGAUUUAUCGCCUUUAGAGCGGCCCGCGUCUGAUUAGCUUGUUGGUGAGGUAAUGGCUCACCAAGGCUACGAUCAGUAGCUGGUCUGAGAGGAUGACCAGCCACAUUGGGACUGAGACACGGCCCAAACUCCUACGGGAGGCAGCAGUGGGGAAUCUUGCGCAAUGGGCGAAAGCCUGACGCAGCCAUGCCGCGUGGAUGAUGAAGGUCUUAGGAUUGUAAAA
rnacentral:rRNA from 1 species